AGAACGAACGCUGGCGGCAUGCCUAACACAUGCAAGUCGAACGAGACCUUCGGGUCUAGUGGCGCACGGGUGCGUAACGCGUGGGAAUCUGCCCUUGGGUCCGGGAUAACAGUUGGAAACGACUGCUAAUACCGGAUGAUGACUUCGGUCCAAAGAUUUAUCGCCCAGGGAUGAGCCCGCGUCGGAUUAGCUAGUUGGUGGGGUAAAGGCCUACCAAGGCAACGAUCCGUAGCUGGUCUGAGAGGAUGAUCAGCCACACUGGGACUGAGACACGGCCCAGACUCCUACGGGAGGCAGCAGUGGGGAAUAUUGGACAAUGGGCGAAAGCCUGAUCCAGCAAUGCCGCGUGAGUGAUGAAGGCCUUAGGGUUGUAAAGCUCUUUUACCCGGGAUGAUAAUGACAGUACCGGAGAAUAAGCCCGGCGUAACUACCGUGCCAGCAGCCGC
rnacentral:rRNA from 1 species